AGCAAACCGGUAUCUUAUAUACAAGCUGACAGCGCAACUUUCAGGAUAAAUGCUAGGUAGCUAAUUGAAAUACAUCAUUUUAUAUUAUAUCCAUAGAAACCAAGACAACUUUUAAAUAGCAUUGUUGACUUGAAACAGAUAGUAAUUAAUUUGGCAUCAUAUGACGCAUACUUGCUUUAUUGUUUAUGCUUUUAGUGAUGAUAAAGGAACAUUUGAACUUCCUACUUUUAUUUUCCUCAGUAUUAUUCCUUAUUUUAGUUGAAUUGUUUUUGUCAUUUCGUUGUUGAUGUUAGUGGUGGAUUUAGGGAGAAAGAAGUCACAUGAUUUUUUGUUAUCAAAGGUUUACUCUCGGUUGGGUUGGAUAAAGAAGUUGUUAUGCCUGGCACGGCGAAUUUUUGAAUUAGAAGCAGAUGUGAAGUAGAAAAAGUUGCUCUUCUUUUAUCAACGAUUUUAUCUUAAAGAAUGGUUUACUUUAAUUAAAAGAUCUCAUAAAUACUAUUUUCUGGUGAACAUUGUUUAUCGAUGGACGGUGUUAUAGGUAGAAGCAGAUUUUGUAAUGUUUGUAAUGUGAUUUUAGCUAGUUAAAUGUAUACUAUUUCUGAACUAGUAAAAUACCAAAUCACUAAGCUGUGAAAUUUUUGUUAGUUAUAUAAGAACGGAAAAAUGCCUUAUUCACAUAAAAAAUGUAUAAUUUAUAUUUUAUAAAAUAUUAGGUUUUUUGUGUUGAGUUUCUAUUA